rnacentral:rRNA from 1 species
AUACGAGAGGUGCAAGCGUUAUUCGGAUUUAUUGGGCGUAAAGGGUGUGCAGACGGCCUGUUAAGUCACUUGUUAAAGACCCCGGCCUAACUGGGGACCUGCGAGUGAAACUAAUAGGCUAGAGGAUGGAAGAGAGAAGUGGAAUUCUCGGAGUAGAGGUAAAAUUCGUAGAUCUCGAGAGGAACACCGAUGGCGAAGGCAGCUUCUUGGUCCAUUUCUGACGUUCAUACACGAAAGCGUGGGGAGC